GACGAACGCUGGCGGCGUGCCUAAUACAUGCAAGUAGAACGCUGAAGAGAGGAGCUUGCUCUUCUUGGAUGAGUUGCGAACGGGUGAGUAACGCGUAGGUAACCUGCCUGGUAGCGGGGGAUAACUAUUGGAAACGAUAGCUAAUACCGCAUAAAAUGGAUUAUCGCAUGAUAAUCCAUUGAAAGGUGCAAAUGCAUCACUACCAGAUGGACCUGCGUUGUAUUAGCUAGUUGGUGGGGUAACGGCUCACCAAGGCGACGAUACAUAGCCGACCUGAGAGGGUGAUCGGCCACACUGGGACUGAGACACGGCCCAGACUCCUACGGGAGGCAGCAGUAGGGAAUCUUCGGCAAUGGACGGAAGUCUGACCGAGCAACGCCGCGUGAGUGAAGAAGGUUUUCGGAUCGUAAAGCUCUGUUGUAAGAGAAGAACGAGUGUGAGAGUGGAAAGUUCACACUGUGACGGUUCUUACCAGAAAGG
rnacentral:rRNA from 1 species